rnacentral:rRNA from 1 species
CCUACGGGUGGCAGCAGUAGGGAAUAUUGCUCAAUGGGGGAAACCCUGAAGCAGCAAAGUCGCGUGGAGGAUGAAGGUUCUACGAUUGUUAAACCCCUUUGUUCGAGAAGCUUAUGACGGUAUCUAACGCAUAAGCACCGGCUAACUCCGUGCCAGCAGCCGCGGUAAUACGGAGGGUGCAAGCGUUACUCGGAGUCACUGGGCGGAAAGGGUGCGCAGGCGGAUUUUUAAGUCAGCGGUAAAAUUGUGGGGCUCAACCCCAUCCAGCCGUUGAAACUGGGGGUCUAGAGUGUGCGAGAGGUAUGCGGAAUGCGUGGUGUAGCGGUGAAAUGCAUAGAUAUCACGCAGAACCCCGAUUGCGAAGGCAGCAGACCGGUGCACAACUGACGCUCAGGCACGAAAGCGUGGGUAUCGAACAGGAUUAGAUACCCGUGUAGUC